AGCAGUGGGGAAUAUUGCACAAUGGGGGAAACCCUGAUGCAGCCAUGCCGCGUGUGUGAAGAAGGCCUUCGGGUUGUAAAGCACUUUCAGUAGGGAGGAAGGUAGUGUAGUUAACACCUGCAUUAUUUGACGUUACCUACAGAAGAAGCACCGGCUAACUCCGUGCCAGCAGCCGCGGUAAUACGGAGGGUGCGAGCGUUAAUCGGAAUUACUGGGCGUAAAGCGCAUGCAGGCGGCCUGUUAAGUCAGAUGUGAAAGCCCGGGGCUUAACCUCGGAAUUGCAUUUGAAACUGGCAGGCUAGAGUCUUGUAGAGGGGGUAGAAUUUCAGGUGUAGCGGUGAAAUGCGUAGAGAUCUGAAGGAAUACCAGUGGCGAAGGCGGCCCCCUGGACAAAGACUGACGCUCAGAUGCGAAAGCGUGGGGAGCAAACAGGAUUAGAUACCCUGGUAG
rnacentral:rRNA from 1 species